rnacentral:rRNA from 1 species
GACGAACGCUGGCGGCGUGCUUAACACAUGCAAGUCGAACGGAAAGGCCCUGCUUUUGUGGGGUGCUCGAGUGGCGAACGGGUGAGUAACACGUGAGUAACCUGCCCUUGACUUUGGGAUAACUUCAGGAAACUGGGGCUAAUACCGGAUAGGAGCUCCUGCUGCAUGGUGGGGGUUGGAAAGUUUCGGCGGUUGGGGAUGGACUCGCGGCUUAUCAGCUUGUUGGUGGGGUAGUGGCUUACCAAGGCUUUGACGGGUAGCCGGCCUGAGAGGGUGACCGGCAACAUGGGGACGGAGAUACGGCCCAGACUCUUACGGGGGGAAGAGGUGGGGAAUAUUGCACAAGGGCCGAAGGCUGGAGGAGGCACCGCGGGGUGCGGGAUGACGGCCUUGGGGUUGAAAACCGCUUUCGCCUGUAACGAGGGGGGGUGGACGGUAAUGGGUAAGAAGCACCGGCUAACUACGUG